GCCUUCUUAGCUCAGUGGUAGAGCGUUGCACUUGUAUCCAUCCGACCCUUGAACGAGUUACUAUGCAAAGGUCAGUCGUUCAAUCCGGCUAGGAGGCA